UCUGGUAUAUCACCUGGAGGUAGGUCUUUCUACUUCAUAUAUCCAUUAUAUAUUAUAAAUAAAAUCAUAUAUAUUGUAAGAUAAAUGAAGUAACUAAUCUAUUGAUUAUAAUUAUUAUAUAUGGUUAAAGGUCGACAUCCAGUGAUAUAUUAUAAUCAUCCUCACAACCAUUCCAAAAGAUGGAACGACAUGGACCAAGGCACUGACGUCAUUUGCCAUCUUACCACGCGAAGUGAACCACCCUUCAUCACCAACCCAUCCACUUCUUUGGAUCAACCCACAUUCGUGUGUUACGACUUUGGAGUAUUUGUACAUUGAUAGAGAGAACUUGAUGCCAGACACUGAUGUCUAGAAGAAUCUCCGAGGUUUUUUGCCACACACAUGCCAUACUCGUUUUUGCCCAAGUCGAUCAUUGAGUCUGGGGGCUAAGAUCAUCAACGUAAGCCUUGAGAGGAAAAGCACUUUCGUUUCCAAUUUUCACAUUCACGGUUCGACGCACCUAAAUAUUUCCGUAGUGUUGGCACUGUUAAUAUAUAGGAAGAAAUGAAAUUCAAAAUUUUUAAUUUAUGUUUUUUUUAAGGAUUUACCCUUGAUUUAAUGGAGCCCUUCCAGAAAUUAUAUCAUAUCUAUGGGUAAGCGAUAGCCUUGUUUCAAAGGACUAAGGAAGUCCU
rnacentral:lncRNA from 1 species